CUUAAAUAUUUGAAAUAUUAAUGUUUCAGAGUGAUAUAUGCAAUGACAAUCGGCAUAAGUUUUGGAUAUUCUUCUAACCUUAAAGGUCAAAAAUAACUUUUAUAAACAUUUAUGAAAAAGAGUAAAUUUGAGUAUUAAAACUUGAGCAUAGUCCGAAAAAGGCAAAAAUUAAACAUUUUAAAAAACUGUGCAGGUUAAAGUGAUAAUGAGGACUGAACGGUAUUUAAACAAGAAGGAUCAAGGACUCAACUGAUCAAGGAUUCGGGAUCCACCUCUAAACGGAUCAAGGAUUCAACUAAUCAAGGAUCAAGGAUUCAACUAAUCAAGGAUCAAGGACUCAACUAAUCAAGGAUCAAGGACUCAACUAAUCAAGGAUCAAGGACUUAACUAAUCAAGGAUCAAGGACUCAACUAAACAAGAAAAGCAUCAUUUAACAGGAGAAGUCUAGCCUGGAUGUUGCCAACAUUGGCAAAUUCUAGGAAGGAUAUAUUUUAAACAUAAAUGAGCGCAUAUGAAAAAUUGGCUUUAAAAAAGGCUGGCUGGUCAUCCUGCAGAUAAAAUAUCAAGAAAAGGUGGUAUAUUUUCACAGUAGCAAUGGACCAGGAGGUUGACCUUCCUAGAUCUGAUUUAGGAGGUAGCAGUGGACCAGGAUGUUGACCUACCUAGAUCUGAUUUAGGAGGUAGUAUGGACCAGGAGGUUGACCUACCUAUAUCUGAUUAACGAGGUAAUAGUGUACUAGGAUG